rnacentral:rRNA from 1 species
UAUUAUACUAAUACUUUUUUUGAAGCUAAAAUAUUAUAAGAUAAGCUCUUUAAAUUUAAAGAAUUUGGCGGUAAUUUAGUCUGUCCAGAGGAACCUGUUUUUUAAUCGAUAAACCACGAAUAAUCUUACUUGUUAAUAAUUUUAAAAGUUUGUAUACCGUCAUUAUUAGAUAAUAUUUAAAAAUUAUUAUUAGAUUUUAAAUAAUAAAAUAAAUUAGAUCAAGGUGCAGCUAAUGGGCAAGUUAAAAUGGGUUACAAUUUAGUUUAAAAAUAAUGAAAUUUAAGUUGAAACAUUUAGAGUGAAGGUGGAUUUGGUUGUAAUUAAAAUUACCUAGAUUAUAAGAUAUAAGCUCUAGAUUAU